rnacentral:rRNA from 1 species
UACAGGGGGUGCAAACGUUGCUCGGAAUCAUUGGGCGUAAAGCGCACGUAGGCGGUUCGUUAUGUCGGAUGUGAAAUCCCUCGGCUUAACCGGGGAACUGCAUCUGAUACUGGAUGGCUUGAGUUUGGGAGAGGGACGCGGAAUUCCAGGUGUAGCGGUGAAAUGCGUAGAUAUCUGGAGGAACACCGGUGGCGAAGGCGGCGUCCUGGACCAACACUGACACUGAUGAGCGAAAGCCAGGGGAGCAAACGGG